rnacentral:rRNA from 1 species
CCUACGGGUGGCAGCAGUAGGGAAUUUUGGGCAAUGGGGGAAACCCUGACCCAGCAACGCCGCGUGGGCGAAGAAGGCCUUCGGGUCGUAAAGCCCUGUCAGGUGGGAAGAACAGAGCUGUAGUAAUGUACAGCCUUGACCGCCACCAGAGGAAGCACCGGCUAACUCCGUGCCAGCAGCCGCGGUAAUACGGAGGGUGCAAGCGUUGUCCGGAAUCACUGGGCGUAAAGGGCGCGUAGGCGGCUUGGCAAGUCUGAUGUGAAAGCCCCCGGCUCAACCGGGGAAGUGCAUUGGAAACUGCUGAGCUUGAGUGCGGGAGAGGUAAGCGGAAUUCCGAGUGUAGCGGUGAAAUGCGUAGAUAUUCGGAGGAACACCGGUUGCGAAGGCGGCUUACUGGACCGUCACUGACGCUGAGGCGCGAAAGCGUGGGGAGCAAACAGGAUUAGAUACCCGGGUANUC